rnacentral:misc_RNA from 1 species
AAGUCGUAACAAGGUUUCCGUAGGUGAACCUGCGGAAGGAUCAUUAAUGAAAUUCUUGAAUCGUGGUUGUAGCUGGCCCGUAAAAACGGCAUGUGCACGCCCCUUUCACUAAUCCACACACACCUGUGCACCUUCGCGGGGGCUUCUGGGAGCACGACGUCAAGUCGUCAGUACCGGGAGCUCGCGUCCCUUUACACACCCCUUUGUAUGUCUUAAGAAUGUCUACUCGAUGUAAUAAAACGCAUCUAAUACAACUUUCAACAACGGAUCUCUUGGCUCUC